CCCCCUGGCUCACCAUAAGUGGCUCCCACUUUGCCGCUUUACAGCGAGCCGGAGAGGGAGGGAGGGGGAACCGUGGCUCCCGUCCGCCCCUCCCUGGCUCGCUGUAAAGCAGCAAAGCAGUAGCUGCUUACGGUGAGCUGGGGAGG